rnacentral:rRNA from 1 species
AAAACGACUCUCGGCAACGGAUAUCUAGGCUCUCGCAUCGAUGAAGAACGUAGCAAACUGCGAUACUUGGUGUGAAUUGCAGAAUCCCGUGAACCAUCGAGUUUUUGAACGCAAGUUGCGCCCGAAGCCAUUAGGUCGAGGGCACGUCUGCCUGGGCGUCACGC